UUUUCCCCUAACAGCAUCCACCGUCCCCCAUGCCCAAUGGAUGCCCAAGGAACACAAUGAAAGCACCAGCCACCUCUCUCUCUAACUCCCCCACUCCACUCUUCCUUAUAUCCCAAGCCAAAGCACCAGAAGCAACAACACACUCCCCACAUCGCGUUCCAAGUACAAGAAAACACACCCCACGCACAGAAUGCCCAGAGCUCGGCCGUCUUACCCGGCUCCGGCGACUUAGCCGUUGUCGCCGUGCAUCCCCGGACCAAUCUGUCGAGCACGUGGUGGGCGUCACCGUCCUCGCCGCCGGCAACCCGAACUGCCGACGCCGCUCCGGCCGCCGUUCCUCACCACCGAAGCAACACCAAGCUCCGUUGCAGUUCGCGCCUUGAGUCGACCCGGCGACGUUGACGCCGGAGUUUUGCCGUCGUUGGCCAACAACCACCACCUCCGCCGCUCCCUGGACCUCGCUGCCUCCGUUUCUCUGCUUGAGGAAGAGUACGUCGAAGAAGAAGAGGGUGAGUUUGUUGACGACCAGGUUCAGGAGUUUGCAGAUGAAGGCAAGUUUGCCCCUCCUUUGAUCACAUUGAUUCUAAGUUUUAUUGGGCUAAAUGAUUCUAUUACAAAC